AAUGACAGUCCUUCGUCCUCCAAUUGAUCGAGCGAUACCACACUCCGUUCCUUUCGAAAACUAGAGUGAGUGAGGGGGAGAGUGAUGAGUUUCAUCGACUUCAUCAUCUUCUUCGCAUCAGUCAUCACCAGCCGCCAUCGACGCCAUCUUCCUCUCAGUGGUUCUCUCUCGAUGGCUCUCUCUUGUCGGCGCUCUCUUUCUUGUUGUCUCUCUCUCUCUCUCUCUCUCUCUUCACUAGCUCGCUCGAUCUCUCUCGCUGGCUGACUCCAUGAGAGCCUCCAUUCCACAGUGAACCCAAAAUUUAUCUAUAUGUGGACCAUGUCGUGUACGUUACUAUCUGGUCUUGUCCAUUUGUGAAAGGCAAAGUACAAAGGAGGGAGAAGAUGAUGAUGAUGAUGAUGAGAGUGGGCAGCAUUUAUGAGUAAUCACAUGUAGCUCCUCUAUUUCUAAUUAUAGUUUAAUUUUAUGGAUAUAGUUGGAAUCAAGAUUGGUAAACUGUGUAAUUACUAUUGAAUCUUCAAGUUUUAUGAAAGAAACAAUUAUGUAUAUAUGUAUGGUGUGGGCAAUAGCAGAUUUGGACUUGAAUUUAUUGUUC